rnacentral:lncRNA from 1 species
GGUUCUUCCUCCAACCAGGUGUGCACGGACCUGCACAAGCACCCACUGCAGGACACGGGCGUGACAGGAAGGGUUGGGCAGGUCCUUCAAAACAUUAAACAGCUGUUUAAGGCCGAGCUCUGCUGAUGAUGGGUGAGCACCAGUUGGAGAGGAUGGGGGGUGAAGGGGGAGCAUCUUCAGGACAUCCUACUGGACCAUCUUUGCCUCAGGGUCCAGGAGGAACUGGAGAACCUCAACAACAUCUUCUCUGUGACUCAGACCAGCAGCAUGCUUACCUGUGGAUAAGAGUGAGCCCCGUGGGUUGAGUGUGGACCCCCACUUCCUCCCUGCUCCUUCUCCUGCCUCGGUUCCCAUCA